AUAGACAAGCGAGAAACACAGAGGAACUCGAUUGUAAUGGAGAAAGAGGCCUUCAUUCGUACCUUUGAGACACUCUGUGAGGAGCUCAAGGUUACGGAGUUUUGCACCGAUGCCCAUGUUCAAAUAUCUGCCCUCUUCAACAAGGGGAAAUACAAAGACAGUGGUGUACAACACACACUCGACAUCUGGCAUGGAGCUAAAAGCUUGAGUAAAAAAAUCCUUGCGGUAGGUCUAUAUGCAGGGCAGCAAAAGGACUGCAAUAUUUUAUUAUAUUGGAACAAGGACAUAUGCAACCACUUUUGGUAUUGCUGCAAGGUG